GUAGGUGAACCUGCGGAAGGAUCAUUAAAGAAAUGCGGCGGAGGGGCCCCAAAGGCCCCCGAGCCAACACGUUCUACCCUGUCUUUUCGAUACCUCUACCUCCUCCCCGGCCUCCGGGCCGGGAUGGCUACUUCAAAAAAACCUUGCAGUUUACAGUCAAUUCAGUACUUUGUAACAAAAUUACAACUUUCAACAAUGGAUCUCUUGGCUCUG
rnacentral:misc_RNA from 1 species